CUCAGGAUGAACGCUAGCUACAGGCUUAACACAUGCAAGUCGAGGGGCAGCAUUUCAGUUUGCUUGCAAACUGGAGAUGGCGACCGGCGCACGGGUGAGUAACACGUAUCCAACCUGCCGAUAACUCGGGGAUAGCCUUUCGAAAGAAAGAUUAAUACCCGAUGGCAUAAUUAGACCGCAUGGUCUUAUUAUUAAAGAAUUUCGGUUAUCGAUGGGGAUGCGUUCCAUUAGGCAGUUGGUGAGGUAACGGCUCACCAAACCUUCGAUGGAUAGGGGUUCUGAGAGGAAGGUCCCCCACAUUGGAACUGAGACACGGUCCAAACUCCUACGGGAGGCAGCAGUGAGGAAUAUUGGUCAAUGGGCGCAGGCCUGAACCAGCCAAGUAGCGUGAAGGAUGACUGCCCUAUGGGUUGUAAACUUCUUUUAUAUGGGAAUAAAGUUUUCCACGUGUGGAAUUUUGUAUGUACCAUAUGAAUAAGGAUCGGCUAACUCCGUGCCAGCAGCCGCGGUAAUACGGAGGAUCCGAGCGUUAUCCGGAUUUAUUGGGUUUAAAGGGAGCGUAGGUGGACAGUUAAGUCAGUUGUGAAAGUUUGCGGCUCAACCGUAAAAUUGCAGUUGAUACUGGCUGUCUUGAGUACAGUAGAGGUGGGCGGAAUUCGUGGUGUAGCGGUGAAAUGCUUAGAUAUCACGAAGAACUCCGAUUGCGAAGGCAGCUCACUGGACUGCAACUGACACUGAUGCUCGAAAGUGUGGGUAUCAAACAGGAUUAGAUACCCUGGUAGUCCACACAGUAAACGAUGAAUACUCGCUGUUUGCGAUAUACAGUAAGCGGCCAAGCGAAAGCAUUAAGUAUUCCACCUGGGGAGUACGCCGGCAACGGUGAAACUCAAAGGAAUUGACGGGGGCCCGCACAAGCGGAGGAACAUGUGGUUUAAUUCGAUGAUACGCGAGGAACCUUACCCGGGCUUAAAUUGCAUUUGAAUAAUCUGGAAACAGGUUAGCCGCAAGGCAAAUGUGAAGGUGCUGCAUGGUUGUCGUCAGCUCGUGCCGUGAGGUGUCGGCUUAAGUGCCAUAACGAGCGCAACCCUUAUCUUUAGUUACUAACAGGUCAUGCUGAGGACUCUAGAGAGACUGCCGUCGUAAGAUGUGAGGAAGGUGGGGAUGACGUCAAAUCAGCACGGCCCUUACGUCCGGGGCUACACACGUGUUACAAUGGGGGGUACAGAAGGCAGCUACCUGGUGACAGGAUGCUAAUCCCAAAAACCUCUCUCAGUUCGGAUCGAAGUCUGCAACCCGACUUCGCGAAGCUGGAUUCGCUAGUAAUCGCGCAUCAGCCAUGGCGCGGUGAAUACGUUCCCGGGCCUUGUACACACCGCCCGUCAAGCCAUGAAAGCCGGGGGUACCUGAAGUACGUAACCGCAAGGAGCGUCCUAGGGUA
rnacentral:rRNA from 1 species